rnacentral:tRNA from 1 species
GAGUUGCAUUCAGAAUAUGUGGGAUAAAGUCCUGCAAACCUUC